rnacentral:rRNA from 1 species
CCUGAGAAACCUAAAAGAUCGAAUGGGGAGAUUCAUCGUCAGCUCAUUUUGUAUAUAUAUAAGUUAUGAUGUAGGUUACUACUUGUAGUAUUGCCUGUACAUUCUUGUAUGUUUUAUUGCAAAAUGUUGUCGGCGUGCACUUCUUCCCUAGUAGAACGUCGCGACCCAUUGAGUGUUGGUCUAUGACCCAAAUGGUAGCCUUUGAUGUAAGCCUUAAACGGUUAAUAUUAAAGACCUUUGGUGUUUUCUGAUCAACUGCUUGAUGGUACUCGUACGGUAUUCAGCCGCACAAUUAUUGUGCGUUCAUGCCCGUCGCAAGCGUGGCCAAUUUCUAAUAGUACAGACUUUGUGCUGUCGUUGGUAUUGGCCCGUUGUUGGUUGUACGGUGUUCUAGAACCGGCUAAAAAUAUCGGUCUGCGAUGCUACUGCUUUGGGUACUUUCAGGACCCGUCUUGAAACACGGACCAAGGAGUCUAACAUGUGCGCAAGUCAUUGGGAUUUUUAUAAAAUUAAACCUAAAGGCAAAAUGAAAGUAAAGAUCAACCUUGUGUUGAUUGAGGGAGGAUGAACUAUAUUAAGAUAUAGUUCCGCACUCCCAGGGUGUUUCAUUCUUAUUGCAAGAAGAAGCGCACCUAG